UACGUAGGGGGCAAGCGUUGUCCGGAUUUACUGGGCGUAAAGAGCGUGUAGGCGGCCAAGCAGGUCCGUUGUGAAAACUGGAGGCUUAACCUCCAGACGUCGACGGAAACCGCGUGGCUAGAGUCCGGAAGAGGAGAGUGGAAUUCCUGGUGUAGCGGUGAAAUGCGCAGAUAUCAGGAGGAACACCAAUUGCGAAGGCAGCUCGCUGGGCCACUACUGACGCUGAGAAGCGAAAGCGUGGGGAGCGAACAGG
rnacentral:rRNA from 1 species